UCAUGGAAGUGUCUGGGGACCUAGCUGCAAGUCACAGCAUUGGUGUUUAAAAAUUAAAGGAUGAAGAGAGCAGAUAGGAAAAACAGAAAAAGAAAAGAAAAAGGAGACCUUCACAUGUAAAUUUUCUGGAGUUUAAAGACACAUGACUUCGAUGUUACUGAAGAUUGUGUCAUAAUCAUCAAAUGGAGCUGGUGCCAAAUAAACCAGAUGGAGCUUUCAAUCAACAAACUGCAUUUAUUAUUGAUAUCUGUGGCUUAUUUGUUAUACAUGCACCU